CGUGUCAGAGGAGAUAUCCUCAUUGACGCAGAUUAAGUUCAUCUUUUGCCGAUGCCGCAGACCUGCUCGACGAAAUGCCCCACCCGAAUCCGCCCACGGCAAGAUUCAUUGUCGCUCCCCUGCGCCGAGCAGGUCGAACCGCCAAGGCCCGCCACAUCUUGGAUGGCGUCAAGGACCAUCAAGAUCCGUGCUGCUUGAACUCCUCGAUUGCUGGCGACGCCCUUAAUGGCCUCCGCGGGGAAGGUCUACGUCUCUUUAAACGGUUCCAGACUAUGAAUCUUGAUCCGGACGAGUUCGCACUCUCCAAUCUGUUGUCACUAUCCGCCAAUCUCAAUGCGUUGGAAGAAGGGAGACAGAUUCAUGCUUUCGUGGUCAAGAAGAAUCUACCCAUGGAUGUGGCGGCGAGCAAUUCGCUUGUUAAUCUUUACUUAAAGUGCGAUAGGGUGAGUGAUGCAGAGAAGGUGUUUGACAGCAUGCCUGUGAGAGAUGUGUACACGUGGACCGGUAUGGUUUCUGGCUAUGCACUGAAUGGCAGUUUAGAGAAGGCCAUGGAUUUCUUCGAUAAGAUGCCUAUCAGAAAUGCAGUUUCCUGGAACUCGACGAUCAAUGCUUGUCAGAGAGAAAAGCAUGAUGAGAUGGCGUUGGAAUUGUUCUGUAGGAUGAAGAUGCUAGGAGAACCUCCCAAUGGGUUGACAUUUGUGGCGGUGCUGAAGGCUUGUGCUAGCUUACAACAUUUGGAAUAUGGCGAGGGAAUCCACUGCAGCUUAGUCAAACUGGGAUGGAUUAGGAAUGUCCUUGUUGGGUGUACACUGAUGGAUAUGUAUGCCAAAUGUGGUGGUUUACAAGAUGUUCAGAGAGCUUUUGAUGAUACUAAAGAGCAUAAUGUUGUCUCAUGGUCUAUCUUAUUGGGGGCAUAUGCUCAGAACGGGAAGAUUUUGGAGGCGGAGUCGAUCUUUACAGGAAUGAUGGAGAGAAAUGUGAUAUCUUGGAAUGUCAUGAUUGCUGGUUACGUGCAUAAUGAUAUGCAACAAAAAGCUUUCAUUCUUUUUGUCGAUAUGAUGAAUGAUGGCAUGAAACCAAAUUGCUUUACCCUCACGAGCCUCAUAAGUGGGUGCUCAAAUCUCCAAUAUGCAAGAAGUGGCAAAAAGUUUCAUGGGUAUGUGGUGAAAGAAGGUCUUCAAUCGGAAAUUUCGGUGGCCAAUUCUUUGAUAACGAUGUAUGGAGAGCAAGCAAAAGUCGGAGAUGCUCGUUUAAUAUUUGACAUGAUGUUUUGUUGUGAUGUGGUCUCAUGGACAGCGAUGCUAUCUGCUUAUAUUUCUGAUGGUGAUAUAGAUGCAGCUCAUGGCAUUUUUUAUAGGAUGCCUAGUAAGAACCUAAUAUCAUGGAACACAAUGAUGUUUGGGUACCUGCAAAUUUGUAGAAACAUGGAGAUCAACACUACAGGCAGGAUGAGACACCCAACUCCUCUGAUGUUCUUUUAUAACAUGGAACAAUCAGAUGUCAAACCUGACCUUUUCUCCUAUAACUGUGCGCUCAGUGUUUGUGCGAGCAUUGGAGCUCUAGAGCAGGCCAGGGCAAUCCACUGCAGAACUGUGAGAAGGGGAUAUGAAUCUGACCUAGGAGUGGGUAAUGCAUUGAUCACUGCCUAUGGAAAAUGUGGAGCUCUUAGUGAAGCAGAAAGGUCUUUUGGAAUUAUGACACAUCCCGACAUGAUAUCUUGGAAUGCAUUGUUGACUGGGUAUUCACAAAAUGGACAAGGAGAUAGAGUCCUUGGCUUCUAUCAGCAGAUGCAGAUAUCAGAAGUGACACCUAAUCAUGUCACAUUCAUAAGCUUACUUUCUGCAUGCAGUUAUCUGGGAGAGGUUAGCAAGGGCCUGGAGUACUUUGAAGGGAUGGAGAAAGAUCAUGGUGUCAGUCCCACUAGGGAGCACUAUGCAUGUAUGGUAGAUCUUCUUGGUCGAGCUGGUUACCUGAAAGAGGCCGAAUCUCUUAUCAGAAAUAUGCCAAUAGAACCAGAUGCAGUUAUCUGGGGAGCAUUGCUAGGAGCUAGCAAAAUGCAUGGAGAUCCUGUGAUUGCUAAAAGAGCAGCUGAUCAAAUUAUUCUUCUGGAACCAGAUGACAGCUCUGCUCUUGUUUCAUUGGCCGAAACUUUUGCAGCAUCAAGAAUGUGGAAAGAUGUUGCUGAAGUGAGAGUAUUAAUGAAGCAAAAGAAGCUUCUGAAGGAACCAGGAUGCAGCCUGAUUGAAAUAAGGAACCAAACUCGCACAUUUCUGUCUGGUGACUCUUGCAGCCAUCUGAAGGAUUGCAUCCAUGAAUUGUUGAAUAGCCUUUAUGGUAACAUGAUUGAAGAAGGCUGUGCAGUAGAUUCUGCAUUAUUGGCUUUUGAUUUACUGUGACAUGUUUUAUUUAAGGGAAAAGGCCACACACCGGAGUAUGGGCUCUUGGCUUUUUGCCACACUAUAGAUAAUGUUGGAUGGACAAAUCUGGACAUGCUUAUAUCAUUCGUAGUGAGGUUGGAUGAUGUAGAUGUUCCAAAAGAUCCGGGCAAUAGAGACACUGGAAAAAAUUAACGUAUAUAGCUACUCGCCUCAUAAAGUGAUAAGCAGUGAGCUGCUCUAGAAAAGAAUUGCAGGUGGAAAACAUGGAAUUGGAUGUGGAAGAAAUUGUGAAUCGUAUAUUGUAAGCCUACUAGUUUUGCUCCAGAAUUGUCUGCACAAAUGAAUGCUUAUGCAUGGUAAAGCUGCUUUCAUGAUCUUGGGAUAGCAAGCUGACAUGGACAGGUUUGAAUGGCACUUGAUUCAUUCAAGAAAAGUUAUUGGGAGAACCUCGAGCACUACAAAGAUAUGGAGUUGCAAUCACUCAAAUGGCAGACAUCUAUGAUCGAUAGAUUCAGCGAGCAAAAUUCUAAUGGGUGCUGCACUAGAGAAUCCUUGCUGUUGUCCACUCAGGCUUGUGAUUGACUUGAAGACCUGCCAGAGAAUGGCCAGCACGGAUGCAAGGGAGGAGGUCAUGGCUACACAAAUGGAAAAUUAGCGGUGGUGGCGAGGGGAGCAGCCCAGAGGGCGGUGAGGGGUCCCCGAAGCACCGGUAGGGAGCGGAGCCAACGCAUCUCACGAGGGCGCCCUCCCCAGGAACAGCUGUCGCCGUAAUGGGUCAAAAGGAUCCGCCCCCUUGCCUUUGAGCGACGCUUUCCUACCUAAUCCGCAGCACCCGCCUUGUAUACCUUCCACGCGAUUACGGCGGAUAUUGAGGAGAUCCACGUUUGUGUCCCGAUAUGUUACCAAUUAAAUUGAUGGGUACGAUUGGGGUAGAUCGUCGACGGCUAUGGGAAAAAUAAAUUUGCUCUGUUGGUUUCACCUAUGAGCGCAUCCAACGUCGGCAACAGCUCUCUCCAUCCGUCCCCAACCCUCGUGCGUUGGCUCCGGCUCCUGUUUAAUUUCCUCGUCUCCGGUUCUCUUCCGCCCUUCUCCAAAUCCGAAACCCUUAUCCGAGGUUGCUCUUUGAAUCCCCGCGAAACGAUCGAGGGGGCGCAAAUCCUCCCCAUCGAGUCGUUUCGAGGGCUGGCGGGGAGAUGCUGAGCGAGGGGGCGGCGGGACGGAGGUGCCUGCCGACCGAAGUCGUAGCGGCCGAGGCGGUCCUUGCCGCCGUCGAUGGGGCCGUGGCGGUCGUCGCGUUCUUGCAGUGGCUAGUUCUUGAUGUGCAUCGUCGAGGUUCCCUGUUUCCUCGGAGUUAAAUAUCGCCGGCUACGCAGUGCCGUUUUAGUCGAUUUCUACAUGAGGUGGUGAUUCCUGUGUUUUGAUUGCUUCUUCGCUCCGCGGUGCAAGAGGUCUUCGUUGGCAAUCGCUAAUUUGUCAUGGACCGAGGAAAAAAAUUGUACUUAUCAUGCAAAUCAAAUGGGUAAUGCCCGGUCCAGCUAAUGAUCAAACCAUACUAGCGAUCACCGUACAUGGUCAACCUGAUUCUUGAAGAGCCUAUCAUAGAUCAAAACCACAUCGGUUUGCAGCUUGUUUUGUCAGUUGAGUACUUAAAAAUAGUCCAAUCUUUUAAGCUUAUCAAUCGUAACGCUUUGAGAUACGUGGAAUCAUUUAUAAUUUAGGACUGCAAACUAUUUAAUUAUUUUAUACACAGGCACUUUUGCUUUUCAAUGUAUUCUUUGCAACAGAUCAAUUGCGGCAUGCUUCUUUGUAUAUGCCGUUAAUUAUCCUGUCUUUGCAGUUGCACUGUUCGAUCUAACAAUCAGAUGUGGCUGAUUUGCACUUAGUCCUUUUUGGCAGACAACAUUUGGCACAUCCUUCACGUAGAUUGCAAAGAAUUUCUGACAUGGUAUUUUAAUGUGAAUAGGUCAAGAUUAGGUAGGUGAUGGUGGAAAAGAGACUUUGAAACUUUGAGUCUUCCUGCCAUGCUUUCUGCAGUGUGUGGGAUCCCAAACCAUAAAAUGGUGUUGUAGCCUCUAGCCACUUCUAGUCUUCAAAGUGAAAGUUGUCUUAUUAGCAUUCAAAGCAAAAGUUUUUGGUUCAAUAUGCAUAUAAGAGAUGAUUUGGAAUUAUAUGAUAUCCUACAAAGGAAAACUAAAUGUAAGUUUGUAUAGGAUUAGGCCAUUUUGGUUGGUAGUUGAACUUGCUGUUUUCAAUGAGCCAAUUUAAAGGACCUAUGAGGUUAAUUAAUUGCUUCUGAGAACAUUAUCACUUGUCAUCUUCCCGGAUGGGAAAGUACAAUUGGAAACAGUGACUGGAAUGGAGUUGCAGACCAUCAAAGACUCAAACCACUAGCAACAAGUCAUAAUUUAAUUCACUUUGCUCCUGUACUUGCUUCCUAAUGCUCUGGCUUACUAUAUCUUGCAUGCAUUUAGCUCAUUUUUGUAAUGUGGUGCUUUCAUAAAUAUAAUUCAAAAUUUUAGAUAUUGUGUUUCACUGAAUAUCUAAUAACUAAAUAACUAGUUUUAUAUGCCUUAGUAUUUGGUGUUUUUUCAAUUGUUUAAAUUUCUUUUGUUUCUGUAAGUGGCUCGAGUUUAAUUUUUCUUUUAUUUUAUAUAUGUUGUAAUUUUCUAUAUCAUGUAGACUAUUUUAUGAUAAUGGGAUUAGGACACAAGGAUGAGUAUCUGAGAGAGUGGCUUGUCUGAGAACUCUAGGGAAUGUACUGAGAAAAGUUUAACGUUAGCAGUCACAAGGGAAUUGGUUCUUAUCCAUUCCAGUUUUAGGGGAUCUACGUAUCUGGAGAUACGAAGUAAUGCUUGUUCUUAUUGGUCACUUGACGUGUGGUAAUUCGUUGUCUGAGAUUUCAGCUGUACUCUGGCCAAAUCUUUAGUGAUAGUAGUUUUGUUGUGUUAUCCCACCUAGUGAUUUAGAUGUGUGUGCAUAUAUUGAUCUAUCUCAUUGUAGUCUUCUUACACUAACCAUUCUUCAGU